GUGGCGAACGGGUGAGUAACACGUGGGUAACCUGCCCAUCAGAAGGGGAUAACACUUGGAAACAGGUGCUAAUACCGUAUAACACUAUUUUCCGCAUGGAAGAAAGUUGAAAGGCGCUUUUGCGUCACUGAUGGAUGGACCCGCGGUGCAUUAGCUAGUUGGUGAGGUAACGGCUCACCAAGGCAACGAUGCAUAGCCGACCUGAGAGGGUGAUCGGCCACACUGGGACUGAGACACGGCCCAGACUCCUACGGGAGGCAGCAGUAGGGAAUCUUCGGCAAUGGACGAAAGUCUGACCGAGCAACGCCGCGUGAGUGAAGAAGGUUUUCGGAUCGUAAAACUCUGUUGUUAGAGAAGAACAAGGAUGAGAGUAAAACGUUCAUCCCUUGACGGUAUCUAACCAGAAAGCCACGGCUAACUACGUGCCAGCAGCCGCGGUAAUACGUAGGUGGCAAGCGUUGUCCGGAUUUAUUGGGCGUAAAGCGAGCGCAGGCGGUUUCUUAAGUCUGAUGUGAAAGCCCCCGGCUCAACCGGGGAGGGUCAUUGGAAACUGGGAGACUUGAGUGCAGAAGAGGAGAGUGGAAUUCCAUGUGUAGCGGUGAAAUGCGUAGAUAUAUGGAGGAACACCAGUGGCGAAGGCGGCUCUCUGGUCUGUAACUGACGCUGAGGCUCGAAAGCGUGGGGAGCGAACAGGAUUAGAUACCCUGGUAGUCCACGCCG
rnacentral:rRNA from 1 species